CCUACGGGAGGCAGCAGUGAGGAAUAUUGGUCAAUGGCCGGAAGGCUGAACCAGCCAUGCCGCGUGAAGGUCAGUGCCCUAUGGGCGUUAAACUUCUUUUGUGCGGGAGCAAUAAUGGUCACGUGUGGCCAGACGAGAGUACCGUACGAAUAAGCAUCGGCUAACUCCGUGCCAGCAGCCGCGGUAAUACGGGGGAUGCAAGCGUUAUCCGGGUUUAUUGGGUUUAAAGGGUGCGUAGGCUGGGAGGUAAGUCAGCGGUGAAAUGCCCCCGCUCAACGGGGUGAAGUGCCAUUGAUACUGCCUUGCUUGAAUGCGGAUGCCGUGGGAGGAAUGUGUGGUGUAGCGGUGAAAUGCAUAGAUAUCACACAGAACACCGAUUGCGAAGGCAUCUCACGGAUCCGCGAUUGACGCUGAUGCACGAAAGCGUGGGUAUCAAACAGGAUUAGAUACCCCUGUAGUC
rnacentral:rRNA from 1 species